rnacentral:rRNA from 1 species
GAUGAACGCUGGCGGCGUGCCUAAUACAUGCAAGUCGAGCGAACGGACGAGAAGCUUGCUUCUCUGACGUUAGCGGCGGACGGGUGAGUAACACGUGGAUAACCUACCUAUAAGACUGGGAUAACUUCGGGAAACCGGAGCUAAUACCGGAUAAUAUUUUGAACCGCAUGGUUCAAAAGUGAAAGACGGUCUUGCUGUCACUUAUAGAUGGAUCCGCGCUGCAUUAGCUAGUUGGUAAGGUAACGGCCUUCCAAGGCAACGAUGCAUAGCCGACCUGAGAGGUUGAUCGGCCACACUGGAGCUGAGACGCGGUCACGACUCCUACGGUAGGCAGCAGUAGGGGAUCUUCCGCAAUGGGCGGAAGCCUGACAGAACAACGCCACGUGUGUGAUGAAGAUCUUCGGAUCGUGAAACUCUGUUAUGAGGGAAGAACAUAUGUGUAAGUGACUGUGCACAUCUUGACGGUACCUGAUCAGAAAGCCACGGCUAACUACGUG